CACCUUACGAGAAAUCAAAGUCUUUGGGUUCUGGGGGGAGGUAUGGUCGCAAGGCUGAAACUUAAAGGAAUUGACGGAAGGGCACCACCAGGUGACGGAAGUUUGAGGCAAUAACAGGUCUGUGACGCCCUUAGAUGUUCUGGGCCGCACGCGCGCUACACUGACAGAGCCAGCGAGUUAUUUCACCUAGGCCGGAAGGUCCGGGUAAUCUUGUGAAACUCUGUCGUGCUGGGGAUAGAGCAUUGCAAUC
rnacentral:rRNA from 1 species